rnacentral:lncRNA from 1 species
CGGCUUGUUGUUUUAUUGAAAAUUUCUGUUACAUAGAGCUUUAUAAUAGAUAGUAUUUAUAGCCAGUAAUCAUAUUCCAACCCUACUUCACAUGGCUCAAAUACGCAUAAUGUCCUUCCAAAAAACAAACCAUUAAAUUUUAGUCCGCCAACCGGCGAAGACCGCGCCGCUCCCAAGAUGUCACUGGCGCACCCCGCGCCACAUGUGCAGAAACUACACCGAUCUUGACACGCCCCGCACGACUCUCAGUCUUAUAUCGGCGCGCCCCCGAGCAGAUUGGAGCGAAGCGACACACUAGCCUUUUUCAAUAGGUUCUAUGUUAUGAGUUGCAAGUUCCAACAAUUACUAACAUAAAAUUAUCAAAAAAAAUAUAUAAUUAAAAUAGGAGUUAUUUCUAGAUCUUCUUCUUCUUACCUUGAAAUAAAGUCUCAAAAUGAAUGGCCACAUUCAUUCCGUAUUCAGUGCCGCAUUUCGUGUGAGACGGUUCCAAAGCACAUACAGCAAUUACUACCAUGGGGUCAUGGUCUUUUAUUUUUGAAGGGAUGAAGAAAACAUUGCUGGAGAUGUGAAGAAGUUGAAGUCA